GGGUCGCUAGCUCAACGGCAGAGCAGGACACUCUUAAUGUCAAGGUUGCGAGUUCAAAUCUCGCGCGACCCA
rnacentral:tRNA from 1 species